rnacentral:misc_RNA from 1 species
GAUGAAGAACGUAGCGAAAUGCGAUAAGUAAUGUGAAUUGCAGAAUUUAGUGAAUCAUCGAAUCUUUGAACGCAUAUUGCGCCCGCCAGCACUCUGGCGGGCAUGCCUGUUCGAGCGUCAUUUCAACCCUCAGGCCUCGCGUCUGGCGUUGGGGCGCUGCGGCCCUCCCGCAGGCCCCCAAAUUUAGCGGCGGAUUCCCCGCGGCCCUGAGCGCAGUAGAGAGUAAAAACUUUAACGCUCCGGCGGCCGUGGCGCGGUUCUGCCUCUUUCCCAAUAGCGCCAAUAGCGCCACCCCCAAAAAAGUUGACCUCCGAUCAGGUAGGACUACCCGCUGAACUUAAGCAUAUCAAUAAGCGGAGGA